UGGGGAAUAUUGGACAAUGGGCGAAAGCCUGAUCCAGCGAUGCCGCGUGUGUGAAGAAGGCCUGCGGGUUGUAAAGCACUUUCAGUAGGGAAGAAAAGCCGAGUGCCAAUACCACUCGGUCUUGACGUUACCUAAAGAAGAAGCACCGGCUAACUCCGUGCCAGCAGCCGCGGUAAUACGGAGGGUGCGAGCGUUAAUCGGAAUUACUGGGCGUAAAGGGCGCGUAGGCGGUGGAGUAAGUCGGGUGUGAAAGCCCCGGGCUCAACCUGGGAACUGCAUCCGAUACUGCUUCGCUAGAGUAUGGUAGAGGGAAGCGGAAUUCCGGGUGUAGCGGUGAAAUGCGUAGAUAUCCGGAGGAACACCAGUGGCGAAGGCGGCUUCCUGGACCAAUACUGACGCUGAGGCGCGAAAGCGUGGGGAUCAAACAGGAUUAGAUACCCCCGUAGUCC
rnacentral:rRNA from 1 species